CUAUAGGGUUGGAGCUUCGUGGACCUGGACAGCUCUUUGGCUAUCGAACAAUGUGGCAAGUACUCACGCAAAAGUACAAUCUACGAGUAAAGAGGGAUGAUGUUAUGGUGUUACUACAGGAGCUUAAUCCUCGAGGAUGUGAGAUGAGAGCACGCAGAAGGUUUAUUAGAAGAACCUACCACUCAAUGGGGCCGAAUUACAUGUGGCACGCUGACGGUUACGACAAACUCAAGCCAUUUGGUUUGGCCCUUUCGGGAUGUAUAGACGGAUUUUCGCGGAAAGUACUGUGGCUUGUAUGUGGACCAACAAAUAACAACCCCUCAGUUAUUGCUCACAAUUUCAUCACUUCUGUGCGAAACCUUGGUGCUGUCCCCAUGAAAUUGAGGACCGAUUGCGGCACGGAGAACGGCAUUAUGGCUGCAAUAAUCCAAUAAUCAACGCAUCGAGUCAUGGUGGUCCAUAUUCAGAAAGGGAAGGUCUCAGUUCUGGAUGGAGUUAUUUGCAGACCUCCGAGAUGCAGGAUACUUCAAUGGAAGUCAUGAACACCAAUGCUUGCUGAGAUUUUGCUUCAGUGAUGUCAUACAGAAGGACCUGGAUGAAUGUGUGACACUGUGGAACAGUCACAGGAUUCGCACUUCUAGAACCGCAUCAUGUCCUGGAGGAGUGCCCAAUGAACUGUACUAUUUACCACACAGGUUUGGCUCCAGAGACUGUGGAUUUAGAAUUGAAGAAACAGAACUGGAUGUUUUCCCUGAAUCAAGACAGUCAGUCAAUUCAUGUGGUGACCAAAACAUCCAGGAGUACUUGGAUUUUGUUGUGGAGUGCAGUUAACUACAGAAGCCAAGUAACUGGGAGUCCGCAUCAGAACUAUACUUAUGGCUAAAAGAAAUUGCUCAGCUAUGAUUGUUUUAAUUACAUAAAUGAACUGAGUAAAUUUUUAAAUUAACUUUUGCUGUCCAUGACAUCUGACCUCAAUUAUCACAGUAAGAAAAUGUUGAAAAAGUUUGAAAUAAAUUGAGUAACAGC